rnacentral:rRNA from 1 species
UCAAGCUGUAAAGGGCGCAAGGGGAAUGCCUUGGCACUGAGAGCCGAUGAAGGACGCGACAAGCUGCGAUAAGCUACGGGGAGCCGCAAAUGGGCUUUGAUCCGUAGAUUUCCGAAUGGGGAAACCCGGCAGAGCAAUACUCUGUCAACGUACACUGAAUACAUAGGUGUACGUGGGGAACCGCCUGAACUGAAACAUCUAAGUAGGGCGAGGAAGAGAAAUCAACCGAGAUUCCGCUAGUAGUGGCGAGCGAACGCGGAAGAGGCCAAACCGAAGGUAGCAAUAUCUUCGGGGUUAGGACUGCAAUAUGUAACUUUAAUCUUUAACUGAAUGCUUUGGGAAGAGCAGCGACACAGGGUGACAGCCCCGUAAGUGAAAGAGAUUGAGUGCUAGCAGUAUCCAGAGUACCAGCGGACACGUGAAACCCGCUGGGAAGAUGGGGGGACCAUCCUCCAAGCCUAAAUACUACUCAGUGACCGAUAGUGGAGCAGUACCGUGAGGGAAAGGUGAAAAGUACCCCGGGAGGGGAGUGAAAGAGAACCUGAAACCUUGUGCCUACAAGCACCGAGAGCACGUUAAAGUGUGAUCGGGUACUUUUUGUAGAACGGUCCGGCGAGUUAAUAUUUGCAGCGAGGUUAAGUAACUGGAGUUACGGAGCCGCAGCGAGAGCGAGUCUGAAUAGGGCGUAUGAAGUUGCAGGUAUUAGACCCGAAACCGGGUGACCUAUCCAUGAGCAGGCUGAAGCGGUGGUAAGACACCGUGGAGGGCCGCACCCACGUCUGUUGAAAAAGCCGGGGAUGACUUGUGGAUAGCGGAGAAAUUCCAAUCGAACUCGGAGAUAGCUGGUUCUCCCCGAAAUAGCUUUAGGGCUAGCGUUAUUUUAGAUUACCGGAGGUAAAGCACUGAAUGGUCUAGGGGCCGCGAGGUUACCAAAGCCUAUCAAACUCUGAAUGCCGGAUAAUUGAUGAAUAGCAGUCAGACUGUGUGAGAUAAGUCUCAUAGUCAAAAGGGAAACAGCCCAGAUCUACAGCUAAGGUCCCAAAUGAACACUAAGUGGAAAAUGAUGUGAAACUGCGAAGACAACCAGGAUGUUGGCUUAGAAGCAGCCACUCAUUCAAAGAGUGCGUAAUAGCUCACUGGUCGAGUGGUUUUGCGCAGAAAAUGUAACGGGGCUAAGUGUUCAACCGAAGCUUAGGCAUUGCAGUAAUGCAUUGGGUAGGGGAGCGUCGUAUGCGGGGUGAAGUCAGAGCGGAAGCACUGGUGGACUGCAUACGAGUGAGAAUGCCGGAAUAAGUAGCGAGAAUUAUGUGAGAAUCAUAAUGGCCGAAAAUCUAAGGUUUCCUGGGGAAGGUUCGUCCGCCCAGGGUUAGUCGGGAGCUAAGCUCAGGCCGAAAGGCGUAGGCGAUGCACAUACGGUAGAAAUUCCGUAACCACCGAACUUUAAGCUAGAGGGACGCUUUCUUUAAGGUUAUCCCGGGCGAUGGUUGCCCCGGGCGUAAGGGACCGAAAUAUAGUAGGGAAGUAACUGGCGAGAGAGACGAGAAAAGCUCUAGUGUAUACUAAGGUGCCCGUACCGCAAACCGACACAGGUAGAAGGGAUGAGUAUUCUAAGGCCAACGGGAGAAGGGUUGUUAAGGAACUCGGCAAAUUGGCCCCGUAACUUCGGGAUAAGGGGCGCCUGCGAGAGCAGGCCGCAGUGAAAAGGCCCAAGCGACUGUUUAGCAAAAACACAGCUCUCUGCUAAAUCGAAAGAUGACGUAUAGGGGGUGACGCCUGCCCGGUGCUGGAAGGUUAAGGGGAGUGCUUAGCGCAAGCGAAGGUGCGAACUUAAGCCCCAGUAAACGGCGGCCGUAACUAUAACGGUCCUAAGGUAGCGAAAUUCCUUGUCAGGUAAGUUCUGACCCGCACGAAUGG